GCUUAUGGCCAUACCACCCUGAGCACGCCCGAUCUCGUCUGAUCUCGGAAGCUAAGCAGGGUCGGGCCUGGUUAGUACUUGAAUGGGAGACUGCCUAGGAAUACCAUGUCCUGUAAGCU
ensembl:rRNA 5S_rRNA 5S ribosomal RNA